UGAGUAACGCGUGGGAAUAUGCCCUUUGGUACGGAACAGUCCCGGGAAACUGGGUUUAAUACCGUAUGUGGUCCUUCGUAGUGGAUACGGGGGACGAAAGAUUUAUCGCCAAAGGAUUAGCCCGCGUUGGAUUAGGUAGUUGGUGGGGUAACGGCCUACCAAGCCGACGAUCCAUAGCUGGUUUGAGAGGAUGAUCAGCCACACUGGGACUGAGACACGGCCCAGACUCCUACGGGAGGCAGCAGUGGGGAAUCUUAGACAAUGGGGGCAACCCUGAUCUAGCCAUGCCGCGUGAGUGAUGAAGGCCUUAGGGUUGUAAAGCUCUUUCAGCUGGGAAGAUAAUGACGGUACCAGCAGAAGAAGCCCCGGCUAACUCCGUGCCAGCAGCCGCGGUAAUACGGAGGGGGCUAGCGUUGUUCGGAAUUACUGGGCGUAAAGCGCAUGUAGGCGGACCAAAAAGUUGGGGGUGAAAUCCCGGGGCUCAACCCCGGAACGGCCUUCAAAACUAUUGGUCUGGAGUUCGAGAGAGGUGAGUGGAAUUCCGAGUGUAGAGGUGAAAUUCGUAGAUAUUCGGAGGAACACCAGUGGCGAAGGCGGCUCACUGGCUCGAUACUGACGCUGAGAUGCGAAAGCGUGGGGAGCAAACAGGAUUAGAUACCCU
rnacentral:rRNA from 1 species